UAUCAGUUUUUUCGGGUUUCAUUUUCAUCACCACCUCUCCCUCUCAUCCGUGUACUCUCUCUAUACACUGUCUCUCAUUCUUCAUUUUUCUUUCACUUUUUAACCUUUUAAAUCAUGAUUUGAUCUAGUUUGGGAAGCAAUCAAGCAAAGUGCUAGUUAGAGUCUUAGAGAAAAUAUUCUACUCAUUAAAGGGUUCGAUUUUAUAGCAAUCCUGAAGCCAUUUGGACAAUUUUGAUUUUGGAGGACUUUGAUCUUCCUUUGAGCAAAUCGAAGAGCACGGCGAGAUCUACAUGUGAGUACCAGCAAUUUCAGUUUUGGUGCACUCUAAGGAUUUCGAAAUUCUAGGGUUCUUGGGCUCAAAUUGGGGAUUUUCAUCAAAUUUGAGAUAGGGGUACUCGUCAGUUCUAGACUUAGACUUGAUCGUGCUGAGCAGAGACUACUACUCACUCUUCCGACGACGUAGGACUUUUCUCCAUGGUUUACUCUGGAUGUUCUUUAAGUAGCUUUCAUUUCAGUUUGGAUUAUUAUUAGGGGUCCAUUAGAGAUGGAUUCCCGAGUUGUUUUAGAAUUAGAGAAGUUGGAUGUAUCAGACUAAUUAUUUAUUUAUAAAAUUUUAUUCUGAGGUUUUUUCUAU